rnacentral:rRNA from 1 species
GACGAACGCUGGCGGCGUGCUUAACACAUGCAAGUCGAACGGACAUUCCCUGCUUUUUUGGGGUGCUCGAGUUGCGAACUGGUGAUUAACACUUGAGUACCCUGCCCUUGCCUUUGGGUUAACUUCAUGCAACUUGGGCUAAUACCGGAUAGGAGCUCCUGCUGCAUGGUGGGGGUUGGAUAGUUUCGGCUGUUGGGGAUGGACUCGCGGCUUAUCAGGUUGUUGGUGGGGUAGUGGCUUACCAAGGCUUUGAGGGGUAGCAGGCCUGAGCGGGGGACCGGCAAAAUUGGGAUGGAGAUAAGGCACAGACUCCUACGGGAGGCAGCAGUGGGGAAGAGUGCACAAUGGGCUGAAGCCUGAUGCAGCAACGCCGCGUGCGGGAUGACGGCAUUCGGGUUGUAAACCGCUUUCGCCUGUGACGAAGCGAGAGUGACGGUAAUGGGUGAAGAAGCACCGGCUAACUACGUG